rnacentral:rRNA from 1 species
UACGUAGGGUGCGAGCGUUAAUCGGAAUUACUGGGCGUAAAGCGUGCGCAGGCGGUCCGCAAAGUCUGAUGUGAAAGCCCCGGGCUCAACCUGGGAACUGCAUUGGAAACUAAUGGGCUCGAGUGUGGCAGAGGGGGGUGGAAUUCCACGUGUAGCAGUGAAAUGCGUAAAGAUGUGGAGGAACACCGAUGGCGAAGGCAGCCCCCUGGGCUAACACUGACGCUCAGGCACGAAAGCGUGGGGAGCAAACAGG